rnacentral:rRNA from 1 species
AUGGACGCUGGCGGCGUGCCUAAUACAUGCAAGUCGAGCGAACGGACGAGAAGUUUGCUUCUCUGAUGUUAGCGGCGGACGGGUGAGUAACACGUGGAUAACCUACCUAUAAGACUGGGAUAACUUCGGGAAACCGUAGCUAAUACCGGAUAAUAUUUUGAACCGCAUGGUUCAAAAGUGAAAGACGGUCUUGCUGUCACUUAUAGAUGGAUCCGCGCUGCAUUAGCUAGUUGGUAAGGUAACGGCUUACCAAGGCAACGAUGCAUAGCCGACCUGAGAGGGCGAUCGGCCACACUGGAACUGAGACACGGUCCAGACUCCUACGGGAGGCAGCAGUAGGGAAUCUUCCGCAAUGGGCGAAAGCCUGACGGAGCAACGCCGCGUGAGUGAUGAAGGUCUUCGGAUCGUAAAACUCUGUUAUUAGGGAAGAACAUAUGUGUAAGUAACUGUGCACAUCUUGACGGUACCUAAUCAGAAAGCCACGGCUAACUACGUG